UACGAAGGGGGCUAGCGUUGUUCGGAUUUACUGGGCGUAAAGCGCACGUAGGCGGAUCGUUAAGUCGGGGGUGAAAUCCUGGAGCUCAACUCCAGAACUGCCUUCGAUACUGGCGAUCUUGAGUCCGGAAGAGGUGAGUGGAACUCCGAGUGUAGAGGUGAAAUUCGUAGAUAUUCGGAAGAACACCAGUGGCGAAGGCGGCUCACUGGUCCGGUACUGACGCUGAGGUGCGAAAGCGUGGGGAGCAAACAGG
rnacentral:rRNA from 1 species